rnacentral:rRNA from 1 species
UACGAAGGGGGCUAGCGUUGUUCGGAAUUACUGGGCGUAAAGCGCGCGUAGGCGGGCAUUUAAGUCAGGGGUGAAAUCCCGGGGCUCAACCCCGGAACUGCCUUUGAUACUGGGUGCCUAGAGUCCGGAAGAGGUGAGUGGAAUUGCGAGUGUAGAGGUGAAAUUCGUAGAUAUUCGCAGGAACACCAGUGGCGAAGGCGGCUCACUGGUCCGGUACUGACGCUGAGGUGCGAAAGCGUGGGGAGCAAACAGG